UUUAUUUGGAAUUUACUGAUACGAAAUUUAUAUAUAUAACAUAUGUUUUUAAUGAUUUCUUAGCCUAUAUAGAAGGAUAUCACAAAAAAUCAUAAAGAUAAUUGCUUUACUUUAAGUUUUCCAUCACUGUGAUAUGUUCAUCUGAAGUACCAGGACCACGCCAGAUUACGCUGUCAUUUUGAUUUUUUAAUAAAAAACCGAUUGACAUAACAGAUAGUCUCUGCUCUGUAUCAGCAAAUACUGGUACCCAUCUACAAAGACGUAUUAUAUAAAAUUGUUAACUUGGCGUAUAACUUUUACUCAACUAAAAUUGAUGUAAAAAAUGAUUAAUAAAAAAUUUUUGAUUUACCCAUCA